GAGUUUGAUCUUGGCUCAGAUUGAACGCUGGCGGCAGGCCUAACACAUGCAAGUCGAGCGGUAGAGAGAAGCUUGCUUCUCUUGAGAGCGGCGGACGGGUGAGUAAUGCCUAGGAAUCUGCCUGGUAGUGGGGGAUAACGCUCGGAAACGGACGCUAAUACCGCAUACGUCCUACGGGAGAAAGCAGGGGACCUUCGGGCCUUGCGCUAUCAGAUGAGCCUAGGUCGGAUUAGCUAGUUGGUGAGGUAAUGGCUCACCAAGGCGACGAUCCGUAACUGGUCUGAGAGGAUGAUCAGUCACACUGGAACUGAGACACGGUCCAGACUCCUACGGGAGGCAGCAGUGGGGAAUAUUGGACAAUGGGCGAAAGCCUGAUCCAGCCAUGCCGCGUGUGUGAAGAAGGUCUUCGGAUUGUAAAGCACUUUAAGUUGGGAGGAAGGGCAGUAAAUUAAUACUUUGCUGUUUUGACGUUACCGACAGAAUAAGCACGGCUAACUCUGUGCCAGCA
rnacentral:rRNA from 1 species